AACCCACUGAGAGCCAUGUCUUUUAUCCUUCACUCUUCUUAGCCACCAUUAGAGACCAUGGAACUCUUCUCCCAAAGCCAUAAUACCCAUCCUCAUCACUGUAUAUUUCUCCGACUAGAUUCUUGUCGUCACUGACAUCCUCAUCACUGAGGGGGCUUAGAUCAAUGACCAACUCGCUCAACGACCAAUUUCUUUAGCCACUUCACCGCCCACAUCUUCCAGGUAUUCUUUCGAUUCCUUCCAUGGCUUCACACUCUGUUAUUCCUUUCUUUCUUUCUUUCUUUGAUUUCAAAUUGGGUUUCUUUUCAUCACUUCUAUUUCCUCCCAUCUCUCUUUUUCUGGUUAGGGUUUGUGUUUGGAUUCCCUGGUAUAUAUUUACUAAUUAUUAUGAGCAUCAAACCCUCACCAUACUUUCUCAUGCCUCAUCUCUGCACUCUUAUUCUUCUUUCCAUUUUCAUGUGCAUCGAAGCUUAGCUUGGAAUCAAUGAUUGCUCGUGUCCCUUCUCUUUUGUCUUUUUUUGUCUUCCGUGCAUAAGAUGAAGUUGAAAAUUUUAGUGAUAUGAAAUUCAAUGCAGUCUGCUAUUAUUAUAGUGCCUUGUCUGCACCUAAUGAAAUCAAAGGUUAUGGAAGCUUCGGAUAGAGCAAAGCUCUUCCUAAUUAGGAUGCUACACUUUGACUCAUCUUAAUCUUGUUUCUUUUUUUUUUUCAUUUUAUUUAUCUAUUUUUUUAUUUUUUUAUUUUGAAUCCAUCAAAGUAGUAACUCCCUUGGACUAAUUUUGUUCUUCAUGUAAACACUAAGAAGUGGAAAAAUGAAUAUUAAGUUUAUCGAAAUUAAUGGGUAUGGACUAGAAGCAUUUUGUCAAAAAUCUGAAAAUUCAGAUGUUGAAAAUCAUAUCAUUUGAUUAGAUUUAUCUCAUGUACAAUUGCUAUUCAGGAGAAACAUUGGAUAGGUUUUGGGGUUUAUGCAAUUUUGGAGGGAAAAGGCUUCCUAAUUUACCUUCCUCAAUUUUAAUUUCUUAAAAUUCAAGUGGUAAUCUUAAAUGGACUUCAACAUCUGUUUUUCACCAACCAUUCUUUUACUUCUAUACAAAUCCUGUUAUCUCAUGUAUGGGGCAAAUGCAAUUUUGUGAUUUUCUAACUUCUUAAAAAUCAGGAAUUGACUUUUUAGGCUCAUUUUUACAUUUUUAAUUCAACUGAUUGACAUAAGCUUGAUAUUUGUUCUUUGAGUGGAAAUUCUGAUGCUUAGAGGAGAGACACUUUACUAAUUUUAUCUACUAGGUUGAAUGCAUUUGCUUUUUCUUCCUGCCAAUUUACUAAUUAUCAAAUUCCUUUUCUUUCUGGUUGGUUUUUCCCUAUCCUUUCUGUUUUCAUUUGAGGCCAUCAUAUCUCAGGCAAUUCACAUCCUGAGAGAGUUAGCUCCAACCAAAUUGGCAAGAGAGUUAGCUACAGAACAAGAUAUAAUAGCCAAGAUUGGCUUAUAAAUAUUCGAGAAUGAAAAUCUUACCAUUAUUUCAUUCUCUUUUAUUGAGCACCCAUUUUCCUUAAUGUGGAAUAUUUGAAACUCAAUGGUACAAAGAGAUACAAAAUUCAGAAGUAGUUUUAUAUUUCACAUAUGUCAUAGAGUUCUAAUUGAAAGACCAAUUGAAAGAAUCAAACUUUGGAUCUUAGGUAUUCAGUUAUAUGUUAUAACAGGUCUAACUGGUCUAAUCUACCUAAUUUGGUAAAUAAGAUGUUAGCAAGAUGAGGGUCAGCUUAGGAAGUCCCACAGCACAAGGCAAGCCACUUGUGAGAUUAAGCAGUCUGAUUAGGAAUACAAUGUUUGGCUUCACAAGUCAAUACAAGGCAAAAUUAAAACAUUAAUAAUUUGAUUUUAACCAAAAUUGAUGUCUUAACCACCAUGUUUCCUUUCUAAAUGAAGUAAGAUGGUUCAAUUUGAAUGGAACCUAAUUGAUUGGGAAAUUGAAAUAAGGUCACUUGCCGUUAGAAAUUGUUGUGAAGAGGAACUAACACAAUUUUUUUUUAUCAAACUUUGCUCUGCAUCAUGUUUGGCCCUCGAAACCCAUAUUUCACCUAAUUUAUUUGGUGGAAGAGGCUUCAAUGUAUCCACACUAACUAUUUGGGAUUCAUUUUUUUUUUCUUUUGGUUGAUUAUUCUCUUUUUUGCUUUCUUUUUUUCUUUGUUCCUUUUUGGUUUUCAAGUUAUAGAUCAUUUAAUCAAAGAAACAAUAACAAAAAAAAAAUUACUUUUACUUUAAUGUACUUUCAUUUUGGGUGCUAGGAGUCUUGUCUAGUGUGUGUGUGUGUGUGUUUUCCAGUUUUUAAUGUUUUUGGGUUUUCUCAAAAUACAAUGUAACUUCAAUGUUCCAUAAGAGAAAAAGAAAAAAAAAUCAAUCCCCAUCAAAGAAACAAAGAUUCAUUUAAUGAUUUCAUCUUACUAGUCACUUUAGCCAUUUAUCUGAAAGGGGUUUACUAUUAAGCUUCUUGUUUAGCUAUUUGCUAACAUCAUCCAUCUUCUUUAUCCAUUGACUACCCUAUGUAUCAAUAAUUUUAAAAACUCUCAUUUCAAUGCUUCAUUGUGCACAUGAUACAAUGAGCUAUAAUGCAUUGAAUUCCAGUCUUCAAACCUUUUACUUUCUUUUAUGUCAUGUUCAUUUGAUUUUUCUUUUUCAUUCCUUAACUGGAUGGGGGCAAUAGCCAUCUCUCUCAUUUGGCCCCUGCAUUUUGAAGAUAAGGCAUUUCCUUUUUCUUUCGUUGUGUGGAUGCACCUUCUAUGGCUAGGUUUAUCUUAAGUUGAAUAAAAAUCCAGUCCCCCAUAGGGCCAAUAUCAUCACUCCAAUGGCAUGUUUGCUUAUUGGCAGGGUGAACAAAUUGAGACUUUGGCAAGACAACAGUAAAGAGAAAGCAUAGAAAAGUUGAAACCUUUGGAGCAGCUCUAUUGUUAUCUUGAAAAGAGGAGGAAAUAGCAAGAUAUUAAUGAAAAAAAAUCUUUCCUAUUUUUCUCAGAAAAUGUGAUAGAAGUUUGAUAAAAUUAAUAAUUAAUAGUUUCCUAUUUUCUUUUUGUGGAAAAGGUAACAACAAAAAACUAUUUCAGAAGUUUUACCAUUAAGUCUGGAUUUUAUCAUGCAGGGGAUUAACCUUAAGCAUGAUAGAUAACCAGUAAACCCUUGACCAAAACAAUAUGAUUGCAAUUGGGGCUGCCAUCUCUCCAACCUCAUCAUACAAAGGUGGACAAUUUGAUAUCAGCUUAUUGGUCUGGAAGAAACUUAUUUUUUUUCCCUUUUGUUCUUUUUUUUUUGUUUUUGAUAUUGAAUAUGCUAAAGCUAAAUCUGAUUGCUAUGAAAGCGAAUUACUUACAAUAAGCAUAAGAAAUUUUUUAAAAUGAAUUUGUUUAUUAACUUAAUCUAUUCUAUAGAGCAUUUUAUCUUGCAAUGAUUUUUCCUUUCUUUCUUUCUUUCUUUCUUUCUUUUGAUCAUUGUAUGAAUUAUUACAAUAAUAAUAGUAAUAAAUAACAAGUAAUAGUUUUUAUAAUAUAAAGUUUUAUGUGAAAAGAAAUGCUUAAGAAAUUAAGUUUUUUUUAAGAAACAAAUGAAAAAAGGACUGAAACAGAAAAUACUUUUUUUUCUUCUUGCAUUCACAUUAUUGAAGUAUCUUAGAAUGAUAAUUAAGUAUAUAGAACAUCUUCUUGAGUCAAUUUUGGUCUUCAAAUAUUGAACUUGUGAAUGUACUUGCUGGCUUUGUAUUUAAACUGCCCUGAACUUAAUGAUUUGAAUAUGAAAUCCUAUACAAAUUUCUAUGCAGGUAUUAGUCCGAUGCCUUUCUUUGAGGUUAUGAUCUUUCCAAAAUCCCCCCUGGUUAGAUCAUAAGUAGAAUGAAAAUUUUAGAGUCCUAAGUAUGGCCUUUCUAAAGUUCUCUUUUAAAAUACAAGUUAACAAGUUCAUAAUGUUGCAUCACUAGUUUGUAAUCUCUUAAAUUCUAUUAUUAUUAUGUCUACAUUCCAUAUUUUGACAAAUUGAAAAAUACCAGUAGACGUUGCUUUAUAUUUUUAUUAUAAAGCAACCAGAUUUUUUAUUAUACUAAAAACAAUCUUUAUAUUUUGGUUUUUUAAAAUUAGGUGUUUAUUACAUGUUCUAGGCCUAAGUAGUUUAGUAAUUUAUUCUUUAAAGAUAGUUUGUACUUAUAAGUAGCAAUCCAAGUCAAAUAAUCAGCAAAUUAAGCUUAAGGUGAAAAUUUUCAAAUUACGAAAAUUUUACAUUUGUCAAAAGAAAUGAAAAAAACCAAGUUCUUAUGUGGAAUGUUUAUUUUUAUUGAUCUUAAAAGCUAAGUUCUUGGCUUGAUUGCUGAAGAAGUUGUUGGACAGGUCUAAGCAGGUGAAGUUUGAAGCAUUUAAAAUAAAUUAGAAUGCAUAUAGAAUGAUAAUUAUUUGCUAGUGAUAAUAGUUGUAACCUCAACUUUCUUUUGUUUCUGAUAUUAAGACAAUCAGUUUUUUUUUGAAAUGGCAUUUCCAAAAAAUGGAGUUGGCACUUCGUGGAAGACAAUGGGACUCUUUGGAAACAAGUGAUAAGUAGGAAGUAUGUGGUAGAAGAAGGGGGGUGGUAUACCUGAAAAGUGAGGGAAAGGUAUGGUGUGGGGUUUUGGAAGGAAAUUAGGAAGGAAUGGCCUUUAAUGAGGGGCAAUUUCAUUUUCUCCAUGGGGGAUGGAAGAAGAGUGAGAUUUUGGGAGGAUAGGUGGUGCGGCGACGACACUUUAAGCCAUUCCUUCCCUUUGUUGUUUGAGCUGGCCGCUUCUAAAGAGGAGUGGGUGGUUUCGGGGGAGGAGGGGGGUUGGAAUCCUCAUUUUUCUAGGUCGUUUAAUGAUUGAGAGAUGGAGAUGGUGGAGAGAUGGAUUUCAAAAAAAAAAAAAAAUGGAAGACUCUUGUUCUCCAAAGAGAGUAGGCUUUGAUGUUAGGUAAGCAACUAUAAGGGAGUUUAUUAAACAACUAGCCUCAAACAAAUAGCCUUAGUCAUUAUGUCUUACUUUCUUGGAAGAAGCUUCAAUACUAUUAAGGUGGCUAGGAGGAGUUGAGAAAAAAUGGAAAAUUUUAUGUGGACAAGUUUUCAUCUUGGAAACUAGAGCUUUGCAUCAUGGAAAGAAUAAAAAGAAACAUUGAGAAGUUUUCGUAGACUUGUUCUCAUGUGAUUUGUCACCUUGUUACUUGUGAAGAUCUCGUAACAUUAUUUUGCAUCUUGCAAAUUAGACUUGGGAAACUGCAAGGUUAGGUUCUCAUAAGAAAUUUUGAGGCAUGUUAGAUAAUAUUUUCAAAAAUAAUUUUUAAAAAUAAGUUUUUGAGAACAAUUCAUAAAAACAAUUUUAUAUCAUUUUUAGGAAUAAAAUUCUAUUUGAAAUUCUAAAUAAUGGUUUUCUUCAUUAGUUCUUGGUGAAUGUAAUUUACCAUGCAAAAUGCAAUAAUAUUAAAAAAAACACCAACCACUCUAUUUUCAUGAUAUUUUUAUUCUAAAAUUUGUUAGAUAUAUUUUUUAGAUUGGAAAAUUAUGUUUGUUUAAAAAAAUAAAAAACUAAUUUUAAAAAUAUUUGCAGACAAACCUUCAAUGUUUCAGUUGAAAGUACGUCUUUCCUUAUCGGAAACCACUUAGAUUAGUUCUUUGGAGGUUAGGGUUUGUUAUUAAAAAGUUUCCUAACACGAUGGUGGAGAUAACUACAUUGUUGAAUCAUGUAAAUUCUAUUGCUACGUGUCUAUUUUCUUUUCUUUUUUUUAAAGUUAAAAUUUUUAAAUCAUCCCCACAAGCAGCAUCAUUUCAAGGAGUCUAUGAAUUUUUAUAAUUGACUAUUUCUUAGUAAUGGUCGUGGACCAUAUAGUCCAUUGUAUGUAUGUGACCGAUUUCUCACUAUGUUUCAUUCUUUGUGUGGUCCAUUAUAAAUAGGGUCUAUUUUCAAUUUGUGUGGUUCAUACGGCAAUAUAGUCCAUUACAUAUGUGUGAUCAUUGUCUCACUAUGAUUCAUUCAUUGUGUGGUCCAUUGUAUGUUGAGUCUAUUUUCAAUUUGUGUGGCCCAUUGUAUAUAGGGUCCAUUGUAAAUAGGGGUACUUGUCGAGUUCAUUUUCUUGGCACUAAAUGAAGAUUUUCCUUGCACUUGGAGGGACUUGAUUCCUUUGCCUUUUGAAAUAUCCAAUGAGUUGGAUGAGAUAAAGGGAAGAACCUAUGAAACUCUCAAUUAUGAAUUUGUAUGAAAACAUAGGAAAUGAAUUUCAGGAAGAGGAUAAAUUAAUUGAUUUUUUGGUUUUGUCUUGCUUGACUGACAUUAAAGCCACCAAGCUAGUUUAUAAUAUGUCUAAUUUUGAUGAAUUUCUAAACCUCCAAGCUAGUUUAACGGGUUCUAUCUUAUCUAUACAACUUUUUCUAUGGAAUAUUAGGUAUCAAUCAAUUCUUUUAGCAGCAUGUUGCCAUCUCCAUGGAAUAUCUCAGUCAUUGUGUUAUGAAUCUUAUCAUGUUUUUUGGAUACUAAUUAUGACAAUGAAUGGCAAUUGGCGUUCGGCCUCUCAAACUUGACUAGUUUAGCUCCUUUGUCCCUAUGAGUCCAAUGAGAAAAGAAACUGAUGCAUGUAUCAUUUUUUAAAUAAGGGACUACAACUUGGACUCAUGAGAGAUCAUGUUUUGUUUGUAAUUGUAUAUCUUUCUCUACAUGCCUACCUUUAGAGUAAUUUAGAUCAAGUGGCUUUAAAUUAUUCUAUUUUUGUGAGUUUCAAUUAGCAUUCUAGUUACCUUCAUGGAAUUUGCUUUUAAUAGUGAAACCUAACUUGGUAUCUCUUGCAUUUUCCAAUUUGGAAAAGGAUGCCUUUAGUUAAUUAAUGUAAAUUGUAUGAUUAGAUUAUUUUUUCUUAAUAAUAAGGAAAUAAUAAGCUCUCUAGAGCAUCUCAUUACUUAUUAGGAAAAUUAAUGGCAAAAAAAGGAAAGUUGAUGUUGUAAGCCUUAAUUUUUCAAAUGAGAUUUGUUUAAUUUAUCUUAAAACUAAAUAAAUUGUAAUUUGACUUAAGUCUAAAUAGAACUUAAUUUUAUUAAAUAUUUUAAGAUUUAUGUUAAAAGAUACGCAUGACCUUAAUUCAAAAGUGAGCCUCAAAAGUAGUCUAUUGUACAAAAAUCCCAUUCAUCAUGAACCAUUGAUUACAACAUUUGCUAACUACACGUUCAUAAAUAAAAAUAGAAAAGAAAAAUAUUUUUUUAAGUCUAAUUAUGAAAUGAUUAUGAAAUUAACUUGUAAACAGGUGAAUAUUAGCCUAACUUGUUCUUAGCAGGUGAAACAUUAAUGAUUCUUGUACAUAGGUUAUUAGUUUUAAGAUUUCGUUGAAGCUAUUUGCUUACAAAGGGGGCGGCACCAUGACUAAACAAAACGAAGGGAAGAAGGGAAAAUUUUAUGGAGAGAAAAUCAAUAUAGAAAACCAGUUGAUCAAGAGGUUUGGGUUUAGAUUUUGCUUUAACAAUUGUCUUAACUUGUUAGAGGUUUCAAUGAAGGAUCAUACACUCAUCACAUAAUAUAAUUUCAUCUAGAUUGAUUUGAAGUAGGAUAUAGGAUAACCAUAAAAUCCUAACAAAAUUUAUUUUACCAAAAAAUAUUGUUAGUAAUUUCAAUCCUAGCCUUAAUCAACUUGCACGACUUAUACUUUUUAUGGAAUAACAGGUUUCUAGGCGUAUACUCCAUGUUUUAAUUGAGUCAUAACUUGUUCAUGACUCCAUAGAAUAAGGCAUUUGUUGGAAUUAAUGCAUUUGUCUUAUGUAUAGACUUUUUUUACUAGACUUUUUGUUUUUUUUUUUCUAUUCAUAGAAUAACAUGUAUGAAUGUGGCUUGUCUACUUUUAGUAGCAUUUUUUAAAAAAUUAAUUUAUGAGAACAGUCUUAACAUAUUUCUUUAUUAUUUCUAGAAAAAAAAACUAUUUGUAAACUUAAUUUAAAAACAAUUUUCUUAUUCUAUGUUUCCUCAAAGUACCAUACUUUUAUGUGCAUUGCAAUAUUUUGAGUUCAAUCUUUAUAUAUAUGUCUCUCAAAGUGGUUUUGAGUUUAGCAUAAUGAUCUUUUGAGUAAUAAUUGAAGGAAGCACCUGACAAAUUAUCUUUUAUUUUAUUUUUAGUAAUUCUACAUCUUUAUGAUAUGUAUCCCAUCUCAAAGUAAUUAUAAUGAUUUCCCUCCCUUCUUUGUGUGUUUUCUUUCUAUAUCUUGCAUUUUCUAACCCAAGACCACUCUUUUGUAUGUUAACCCUUAUCCAACUUACAAGGCUUUGGAAAUACUCAUGGACGCCAUAUUUUUCAAAAUAAUUUAUUCAAAUUUAGUUUUACAAGCAAAUCAUGACAACCUUCUUAUUUUCUGUUUACUUUAUCUAAGGGUGCAUUCUAUGCUCUUAAGGUCAUAUUAACUUUAUUAAUUCUUUUUAUCAUAUCAGAAUUUAACAAUCUCAUGAAAAAAAAUGGAAUCUACAUAUAUUUUGGAUAAUAAAUUUAUUUCUUAUAUUUGUUGAAUCUCUUAGAUAUUUCUUUCAAAAACAUUUCAUGUUAAUCACUUUGAAUAACCAAAAUAAAAAAUAAAAUAAAAAAUCUAAUUUUAAAAUGAUAAAAUUUUGGUUAUAUAUAUAUAUAUAUAUAUAUAUAUAUAUAUAUAUAUAUAUAUAUAUAUAUAUAUAUAUAUAUAUUAUAUUAUAUUAUAUUUCAUUAAUAUUUUGUGGGUCUAGACCGUCAACUAAAUGUGACCUUAAUUUACGUCGCAUGCGUUUAACAUUCAUAGAAAAUUAUAAAUAACAUUUAGUUUUCUCACAAUGAUAGUGAGAACUAAUUAACUUUUAAGAUUGAAUUUUCCUGGUUGCAUGAAGAAGUUGCCAAGGCACCUUCACAAUCAAGAUCAAUUAAUAUCUUAUUUGGGUAGACAAAGCCAAAAACAUUAUUUGUCACCUUCUUGAAAUAUACUACCCACUUUUCCACGAAAAUCCAUAUUUGAAAAGUUCAUAAAUCCUUCCCUUAGUCAUAGUUCUCAAUGCAAAGAAGUGAAAGUCUUUCGAGGCAAGAACAAAUAUCCGUUUAUUGCUAAGAAAAUUCAUUGGUAGGCAUUUUUUUUUUUUAAAUUGAGACAUGUAUAAUGCACCAUAUGGUUUAUGACCAUAUAGUGGUCAAUGUUAACAAAAUCAGUCUCGUUGGAAUUGUUGAAGGAAUAUGAUGCUAUCCAUUUAUUGCUAAGAAAAUUCAUUCGUAGGUCAUUGUUUGAAAUUGACACAUGUAUAAUGGACCAUAUGAUUUAUGACAAUGUAGUGGUCAAUGUCAACAAAGCCAAUCUUACUAGAAUUAUUGAAGGAAUACGAUGCUUGAAAGGACCACCUAAGAAGUUUGAUCCACAUACUAGGGUUGUUGAUGUAAUAAUGAGCAUUCAUAAUCUUCAAAAUAAUUAAUUUAUAUUUUAGUCUUAUUUGCAAAUCAUAAUAACCUUUUUAUUUUUUAUUUUUUUGUUUAUUUUACCUAAGAUACAUGCUAUUCUUAAGAUCAUAUCAACUUUACUUUAUGUUUGGUUUUAAAAUGGAUAAGAUAAAUGAUUAUUCAUUUUAUUUAUCAUAUCCCUAUAUAUGGGAUUUAACAAUCUCAGGAAAAACAUGCAAUAUAUAUGGCUUUUAGAUAAUAAAUUUAUUUCUCAUAUUCAUUGGAUUUCUUAAAUAUUUCGUUUGAAAAUUUUUUCAUUUUAAUCACUUUGAACAAAAAACAAAUAAUAAUAAUAAUUUAUUCCAAAAAGAAAAAAAUAAAAGUGUGUUAUAAUACAAAUUAAAAUUAUAUAUAUGUAUAUAUGAAAUGCAAAUUAAUAGUUUAUUCAAGUCUAAACCCUGAAUUAAAUAUGACCUUAAUUUAUAUAAUUUCAUCACUUUGCAUGUGUUUAACAUUCAUGAGAUGGUGAUACAUAAUAUUUCACUACUUGAUGCCUUUGCCUUUAGAAAUAUCUAAUGAGCAGGAAGAGAUAGAGGGAAGAAGCUAUGAAUUUCUCAAUUAUGGAUUUCUAUGAAAAGAUAGACGAUGAAUUUCAGGAAGAGGAUGAAUUUCAAGUUGAAAUGAAUUUCAUUAAAGCCACCAAAUUGAAAUGUCAAGCACUGUUACGCAAGUUUUUUAGUCUACCUAUCCCUAGAUUUAAAAAUUAAUUAAUUAAUUGAUUUUGAAUGCUAGUGGGGCUCAGACCUUCUUGAAACCUAAUUUGAAAGAUGUAACUUGAAAGAUAAAGUCACUCGCUCUGGAGGAAAAGUCAUUGACUAUGCAAGAAAAGGCUAAUAGGGAAUGGAGCUCAAUUUCUCUAUAACUAAUUAAUUAAUUAUAUAUGUAAUAUCAUAUAUAUAUAUAUAUAUAUAUAUAUAUAUAUAUAUAUGAUAUUAUUUUCAAGAAAAUAUGAUAUUUAAAGAUGUGGAUAUAUAGAAAAAAAUAAUAUUUUUAUGUUUAUUAAAAUAUAUUAUACUAUACUAAUAUUUGAUGUAUUGAAGGAGUAAAUAAUAGAAUAAAAAACAUAUCCUAUCCUAAUGUUUCAAAAUUUUUAAAUAAUAUAUGAAUUGCAUCCAACAUUAUUAUUAAACAAGAUAUAAUCUCUCUUAUGAUUCAAUAUUAUUUAGAGACUUCUCCAUCAUUUAUUUUAAAUUUGUUAACUAUAUCUCAUCCUAAUGUUUCACAAUAUUUUAAAUAAUAUAUGAAUUGCAUUGAAACAUUUGUUUUUAAAAAAGAUGUGAUCUCUCUUACAAUUCAACAUUAUUUAGAGACCUCUCCAAUCUUUAUUUUAAAUUUGUUAAACAAUCUCAUCUUGAUGUUUUACAAUUCUUUAAAUAAUAUAUGAAAUAUUGCAUUCUAACGUUUAUUAUUAAAAAAAGAUACAAUCUCUCUUACCAUUCAACAUUAUUUAGAGACCUCUCCCUUGUUUAUUUUAAAAUUGUUAUUUUAGAGUUUAUACUUAUGAAAUUAUUACAUGUUGUUAUAUGAUAUAUAUUAAGUUUAUAUAUGAUAUAUAAAAACAUUUUUAUAUAUGUAUUACAAAAAAAAAUUUAUGAUCCAUUAGAUAUGCAUCCCAUCUUUUUUAUGUGGUUGUUAAAUAUCAUGUGGAGGAGAUACUGGGAAGAGGGUGAAUGUAUUAUCUCACCUUUUAUCUUUAUUCUAUAUUCUAUCCACCAAGUUAAACAUUAAUUAAAGGGCAUAGUAUAUAUGGUUGAAUAAAGUUAAUAACAAGCCCUUUCAAGUAAUAUGAUUGAAGGUUUAGCUCCUCCAAGAUCAGUCUUGAACAAUGGAAAUGUGAGAUAGAGAUAAAGAAAGGCGUAAAACCAAUCAAAAGUUAGAGAAAAAAUUGUUUAUAGUGUUUGAUUCUUCUAUAGCAUUGACUAUCAUAGUCAGUAUUGAAGUAUGAUGGUGACUAGGUACAUCAACUUGCCCACAAUCUUUGAUUUUCUAUAGCAUUGACUAUCAUAGUUAGUAUUAAAGUAUGAGGGUGACUAGGUACAUCCACUUGCCCAUUGUGUUUGAUUUUUCUACAACAUUGACUAUCAUAGUCAGUAUUGAAGUAUGAGAGUGACUAGGUACAUCAACUUGCCUAUAUUGUUUGAUUCUUCUAUAACAUUGACUAUCAUAGUUAGUAUUGAAGUAUAAGGGUGACUAGGUACAUCAACGUGCCCACAGUGUUUGAUUUUUCUAUAGCAUUGACUAUUAUAGUCAGUAUUGAAGUAUGAGGGUGACUAGGUACAUCAACUCGCCCACUAUGUUUGAUUUUUCUAAAACAUUGACUAUCAUAAUCAGUAUUGAAAUAUGAGGGUGAUUAGGUACAUGAACUGGGUACAUCCAUUUGCCCACAAUAUUUGAUUCUUCUAUAGCACUAAUUAUCACAGUCAACAUUGAAGUAUGAGAGCGAUUAGGUACAUCAACUUGCCCAUAAUUUUUGAAUUUUCUAUAGCAUUGACUAUCAUAGUCAGUAUUGAAGGAAGAGGGUGACUAGGUACAUAUAGCACUGACCAUCGUAGUUAGUAUUGAAGUAUGAGCAUGACUAGGUACAUCAACUUGCCCACUAUGUUUGAUUUUUCUAUAACAUUGACUAUCAUAGUCAGUAUUGACGUAUGAGGGUGAUUAGGUACAUCAACUUGCCUAUAGUGUUUGAUUCUUUUAUAGCAUUGAUUAUCAUAGUAAGUAUUGAAAUUAUGAGGGUAACUAAGUACAUCAACUUGCCCAUAGUGUUUGAUUUUUCUAUAGCAUUGACUAUCUUAGUCAGUAUUGAAGUAUGGGGGUGACUGGGUACAUCAACUUGCCCAUAAUGUUUGAUUUUUCCAUAUAGAAUGUUUUGUAGCUAGCCAAGCAUGGUGAGCUAUUUAAUUACAAGACAUACCCACAUGCUUGUGUGAAAGAAAGGAGGUCCUUGCAAGUUGUUAUCCUAUUUAAUAGGUGAAGUAUUAGAAUUAUUGAAAAUAAUUGUCUUAAAUUAUGCGUCUAUGUAACUUUUUAUUAUAUUAAAUACAUGCUUUAGACAUUGUUACUAAAUACUGGAUUAAAACAUGAAUUUCCUAAGUAAUUAAAAUGACUACUCUUGAACUUGAAUUCCAUUCUUUCUCAUUUUAGCAAAAUAAAUAAAUAAAAUCCCUUUUAUAGAUGAUAAUUGUUGCAAAUUGUUAAAUUGUUGGAAAAGGCAUAUUAUAGGGUUUUGCUUUGAUAUUUUGGUGCUACUAAAUAGAUUGAACCAAUUUAGUAGGCUUUUACACUCUCCACAUAAGACAAUUAUAUGUUAUUUAACGGGGAUUGAGGACGGAGAUUUCACUUCAAGGCAUGAUGAAAGUCUUUUUUUUUUCUUCAAAGAACUGACACAACUAAAGUUGAUCUCAAAAGCAAAUCCAUAAAUGUAUUAAGAUCAAAUCUGAAAUUUCCAAAGGAGGGAAAAAAAUAACAAAGAAAAAAAAAACUCAUAUUUGGUAUAAGUGUAUAAUAUAAUUGAUUUUUAUGAAUUUCUAAACCUCCAAUAUAGUUUAAUAGGUUAUAUCUUAUCUAUACACCUUUCUCCAUGGAAUAUUAGGUACCAAUCAAUUCUAUUGGCAUCAUGUUUCCAUCUCUACUUCAAGUCAUAUUUAUGCCUGGACAUCUGUGGAUGGACCUUAUACCAAUGCAAAGCAAGUGGAGUAGCAAAAUUUCUUAGCCAUUGCAUUAUGAAUCUUAUCAUCUUUUUUGGAUUCUAGUUAUGACAAUGAAUAGCAUUUGACACUCAGCCUCUCAAACUUGACAAGUCCCUGUGGGACCAAUGAGGAAAGAAAUUGAUUCAUGCAUCAUUUUAUUGUGGGGGACUACAACUUGGAACCAUGAGAGAUCAUUUUUUUGUUUGUAGUUGUAGAUCUUUCUCUAUGCACUCACCUUCAAACUUUCAAAUAAUUCUCCUUUUGUGAGUUUAGAUUGUUAUUUUGCCCUUGUGGAAUUUGCUACUACAUUUCUAGUGAAACCUAACUUGGUAUCCCCUGCAUUUUUCUAAUUUGAAAAAAGUAUGCCUUUAUUGACUAAUGUAAGGCUCUCCAAAAUCUGAUUUUGAUUUUGUUUAUUUCUUUAUGAAUCAUAUCAUCAAUUUUUCUUAUGAAUUUUCUCUUAAGAAUAAGGAAAUUAGUAACUCUCUAAAAGUACCUCAUUUCUUAAUAAGAAAUUAAUGGUAAAAAAGGACAUCAACUUGCCCACAGUGUUUGAUUUUUCUAUAGCAUUGACUAUCUUAGUCAGUAUUGAAGUAUGGGGGUGACUGGGUACAUCAACUUGCCCAUAAUGUUUGAUUUUUCCAUAUAGCUAGCCAAGCAUGGUGAGCUAGUUAAUUAUAAGACAUACCCACAUGCUUGUGUGAAAGAAAGGAGGUCCUUUCAAGUUGUUAUCCUAUUUAAUGGGUGAAGUAUUAGAAUUAUUGAAAAUAAUGGUCUUAAUUAUGUGUCUAUGUAACUUUUUAUUAUAUUAAAUACAUGCUUUAGACAUUGUUACUAAAUAUUGGAUUAAAACAUGAAUUUCCUAAGUAAUUAAAAUGACUGCUCUUGAACUAGAAUUCCGUUCUUUCUCAUUUUAGCAAAAUAAAUAAAUAAAAUCCCUUUUAUAGAUGAUAAUUGCUGCAAAUUGUUAAAUUGUUGGAAGAGACUUAUUAUAGGGUUUUGCUUUGAUAUUUUGGUGCUACUAAAUAGAUUGAACCAAUUUAGUAGGCUUUUACACUCUCCACAUAAGACAAUUAUAUGUUAUUUAAUGGGGAUUGCGGACGGAGAUUUCACUUCAAGGCAUGAAGAAAGUUUUUUUUUUUUCUUCAAAGAACUGACACCACUAAAGUUGAUCUCAAAUGCAAAUCCAUAUGUGUGUGAAUAGAAAAUCACCAAUAAUUGUUAGUUUUUCUUUUAUGCACCUGUAAGAGAUAAUAAUAAACUUAGUAGCUUGUUAUGCUUUUGAAAUUAAUAAAUCAUAAUCUAUCACGUGAUGAUGCCAUACAGAUUAAUUUUAGGUGGUGUUCUUCGACUGAAGCCUAGGACUUUGUGUUCCUUCCCAUGGUUCCCACAGGGUUUCUUUUUUUUUUUUUUUGGGNNNNNNNNNNNNNNNNNNNNNNNNNNNNNNNNNNNNNNNNNNNNNNNNNNNNNNNNNNNNNNNNNNNNNNNNNNNNNNNNNNNNNNNNNNNNNNNNNNNNGGGGGGGGGGUGUCUUUGAUGUUUCCAUAUGAAGAUACGAAUAGAUAAAAUGAAAUUAUGUCAAAAUUUCCGUUUCCAUAUCAGGGUGCAAAGGAAAAUGGCAUGGGCUAAUAUUGUGUAGCAUGUACCUUUUUCUGGCUUCUUUAUGUACUCAAUUUCAGAUUACAUGUCAUUACUCAUCUUUAGCCUGCAUUUCCCACCUUCUGCUUCACAAUUUCCACACACAGGUUUUGACCAAUUCAUGGAAAAUCUAGAUUCCCCAUAUUCUAUAUUUAAUGGGAGUGAAGUUUCGGAAAUCUAGCAAGCAAAAUAUAUUCAUAAAUAAAUUAAAAUAGACAUUGCUCAUAGAUACGUACUGAAAUACAAUGUAUGGUAUUAUCGGCAUAAUUCAUGUAGUAUUAUGGUCCUAUCACAUCUAGCACAUUUCACAUUUCUAAAGAUAAAAGAAAUAGAGUCCUAUAAAUAUAAGGACCAACUUACUUUUAGUGUCAAGAAAAUUGACUCGAUGGUUUUAUUUGAAAAGUCAUAUUCAAUAAAUAAAGCAUCAAAAUUGACCACAUGUACAAUGGUCCACAAAAAUUAUUGAAGGAGUGUGAUGGCUGUAGGAGACCAUUUUAAAAUUUUGAAUAUUUAUUUACUCCUACAAUUUUAUGCUCAUAAUGAAUUAUAGUAAUAGACAUAUACCAAGGAAAGGUUUGAGCUCUCAAAUUGUUCCUUCUUUGUUAAUUCUUUCUCUAUUAAAAUGCAACUUUUGAUUUGAGAGCCUGAUUUAAAGUGUGAAGGGUAAGAUCAAAGUCCUAAUUAAAUUUCAACAAGGAGUAGAAAUCUAUGAAUGGAGAAAUCAAAGUGUCCACUAAUUUGAAGAACCAUAUAUGGAAUGGUGCAAUCCAAUGUCCAAGAAUGUAAUUGUAACCUUUAGAGGGCCCAAGGACACUUCUCUAACAAAAACUAUAUGGAAUUACUUACAAAAGAAAUGUUGUACUUGGCACUAUUGUUCCUUGAAAGCCCAGAUUACUACUAGCAACAAGUUAUAACAAAAUAACUUACUUGAACAUCUACAACCCUAAUAAUUAUUUUUGUAGAAUACUUGAAAAAAAAAAAAUAGAACUUCAAAGGAAAUGGAGGAUUUUCUUUGAUAAUUUUACGGGCAAGCAAGAACACUAUUCAAACAUCUAAAAUGAUAUUUUAUUACUUGUACAUAACCUUUCUUACAAGGAACCAAACUAUUGUUUGAAGUAGAAACUUUAUUUUAUUACAUACACUGAUCUCAUAGAAACCUUACACAUAAGACACAAUCACACAUUAUUAUUGGAUUACAAAAUAAGCAACUAGAUGGAGUAGGACUACCUUCCAUUUAAGCUGAUUGUACCCAUGGAAUUGGAUGAUGAAAUUGGUACCUCUACCAUGGAUUGCUCAUGAUUCUCGAUAGACCAUAGAGUUGGCUUAGGAGGCAUUUUCAAUAGUUCAAUCUCUCCUUCAAGCAUCUCCAAUGUUUUGCUCAUUGAAGGACGAUCCAUAGGCUUCAUUUGUACACACCAUAGCGCAACUAUCACCAUUUUCCUUACAUACUUUUUUUCAUCCUCAGUGGCAUCUCCCAUUUCCAUGUCCUCUCCUUGAUCAUAUCUAUCAUAAAUCCAUGAUGGGAAAUAUAUUUGACUUGAAUGCUCUGCAAAUGCAUUCACAUUCUUCCUUUUUCCCACCAUUUCCAAUAACAACAUUCCAAAACUAUAAACAUCAGCCUUAAAUGAUACACCUCCAAUGUUUUUGUAGAACAAUUCAGGAGCAAUGUAGCCCAAGGUUCCUCUAGCAGCAGUGACUGAUACAAUACUUUCAUCUGUUGAGUAUAAUUUUGCAAGACCGAAAUCUGAAACUUUUGGUGUGAAGUCUUCAUCAAGAAGAAUGUUGUGUGGCUUGAUAUCAAAAUGAAGAAUUUGCAUAUCACACCCUUGAUGUAAGUAUUCGAUCCCACGUCCUACUCCAAGUGCAAUCUUGUAUAAUCUUUCCCAACUCAAAGGAAUGUUGUUUCCUUGAUCAAGAAAAACAAACUUAUCAAGAGAUCCAUUGGGCAUGUAGUCAUAUAUAAGGGCCCAUUUUGAUCUCUGUAUGCAAAAUCCAACAAGUCUCACCACAUUAACAUGAUGAAUUCUUCCAAUUGUAGCAACUUCAUUGAUAAAAUCUUGCCCAUUAGCCUUUGACAUAACCAACAUUUUUACAGCUACAAUGCGGCCACUUCGGAGUUUUCCUUUGUACACAGAGCCAAAACCUCCUUGACCCAAUUUAUGCUUAAAAUUAUAAGUCAUCUUCUUUAUGUCUGAAUAUGUGUAUUUGAUUGGUCGAAGAUUUUGGUAGUUAUGUAGGAAUUCUUCAAUAUCAUCAUCUAAUGAUAAGUGUCUCCGUCGAAACUUGUUAAUUAAAUAGGCAAAGAGGCACAAAAUACCAAUCACAGCUCGUCCGAUGAUGAUCAUGACUACAUAUAAAUCACAUGUUAAAGAUAUGAAAAACGUCAGAGGAAGAUUUAUAAUCAUCUAACCACAUUCAAUCAUCAAAUGAAACAAAUGAAAAGGUCAUUUCACCUAUAUCUUAGGUUUUGGAUUUCCACUCAAACAUAGUCAUGUGACUCUUUUUCUUUUGGGUGACAGCAUGAUAUACAUAAAGGAUGGAAUAAUCAAUUGAGAAAAUUUGUUUUGUUGUACAAAAUUAAGGAAUGAAAUUAGAUGCCAAAUUCCAACUCUAUUCUUCAAUUUCCUUGUACUCUAACAAAUCUGGGAAUAAUUUGAAAUCAAAUACAUCACAAAUUUUUAAAAAAAUAAUAAUAAUUUUAUUUGAAAGAAAAUUUCUGAAUUUCACAAAUUGGAAUUUCAAUUUAUGAUUCAUUUUGUACAACCAAAUGCAUUGCCAAACUUGAUUGUCGGCUUUUAUCUUGAAUGAAAGGAUUCCAAAAGUGCCAGGCAAAAAGAGGUAUAAGACGUGUGCAAUUAUAUACUUAUUGAGAUCUGGAAGCCUUACCCAUGAGUUGAAAUAUAUAGACUGCCCCAACUGCAAACAUGAGAGGAACAAAAAUUAUUAAGUUCAAGAAAAGAAAGAUUCAUACAUAUGAUAGAUUUAAAAUGAGCAGGAAACAAAUAGAAGAGAAAUAUUAUUACUGCUAUUGGUUUUGAUUAAAAAUUAGGAAGAGAUGGAUAGGAUAGAAGAGAAAGGGUAAUAUUAAUAAUAAUAAUCAUCAUCAUAGUUAUUAUUAGUUAAGUGGACGAAAAAUCCAAUCAUUUAUUAUACUAUUGAUUAAUUUAAAUGUCUUAUAAUAUUUUUAAAAUUUUUAGAAAUUUAUUAUAUAUAUUUAAAUUAAAAAUAAAAUUAAGCACAUACCACAUACUGACUAUUGUGGGAUUGAAUGUGUAAUUUAGAAUAACAGUUCUUUAUUUUAUUCAUUUAUCGUGAACUCCAAAAAUAAAUUAUCAUUUCAUUUUAUCAUCAAAUUAAUAAUUUUUUAUUAUUAUUAUAAAGAACUUCUCAAAGCCUUACCAAUUAUGUCUCCAUCCAAAAGAUAUCCGAAGUCUGCAGGUUGAAAUUCAGUAAAUAUGGUCAAUGGUAAAAGUAGAAGAAGCUUUUGCAUUUUGCUCUAUGUGACUGCCGACUAGACAAUGAUAUUAAGCAGCCCAUAGGUACCAUCUUGAAAUUGAUGGAAUGAAAAUAAAAAAAUAAAAAAAUAAAAAUCUCUAUCUUUCUUCUACAACAAAUGGAACUAAUAAGCCUUACUUUGGAUAAAGUAGUCCACACCUAAUAUAUAUCCUGUUAACAGAAAAACAACAUAAAUUGAAUUUAACAUGAGAAAGAUAAUAGAAGUAAAAAUGAACAUGAAAGAUAAUAAAAGUAAACUCCCAAAGUCUCACUGAUUAUAAUUGGCAGAUAGGAAAAGAACCCAACUGCAAGAUCAAACCAAUUAAGCAAAUAUUAUUAGUUAUAAAAUGUUGAAGCAAAAUAAAUACAUGAAUGGAUAAAAAUAAACAUUGCUCAUACGUUUGGUGCACUGUACGGUAUAAUUGCUAUAAUUCACAUCGCAUUCUAGCCCUUUCACCCAGCAUUCGCUUUUGCAGCGGAAGCUCAAGAAUGAAAGUUCAAGCCCCAGAAGCAGCAUUUCUUGCAAAUCUGACAUUGAAAGAUUGCCGGGCUUCAAGAAUUGAGUAAUAAUAGUCCUGCUGAUGGUGCAUGGAUACUUAAUAUCUCCCACUUCCAUGGACUCGCUUCCGACUAGUGCAUAAACAUAUGCUUGUGAGGAAGAUGAAGUCGCAUUGCAAGGAGUGAUAGGAAUGUAGCUGCCGUCACUUAUUGGCUGGUCGCAAUUCAUUAAAACUGCUGUACUGGUCAUUCCCUUCCACUCCAAAUAAUAUGUACUGUAAUCAUCGAAGAUUUCUCUUGUCAAGAAAUAGAGAGGAGUUGAGAGACAGUUGCCCUUUUCGACCCCAGGAUCCACUACCCGAAUGGUAUAGUGAUCGUAGUUGAUAUCAGCAACAUAGUAUUUCUCACCCUCCCGGACGUUUACCAUAGUACGAUUGUUUUCGCAGACCAAUUCAUAGUCAGGAUCACCACACCCAAAUGGAUCACCUUUCAAUCGGAAAGGGUUGCUGAUGUUUUGAAUCUCUCCACAAGAAGAGGGUCUGCAAGUCUGGUUUCCAUUAGCAGCACAAAUUGCAAGCAAGAAAGUGUGGAAGAGCGCUAACGCCACAAGUUGUGCUUCUCUAAACAUCAUAACAUUUGAGAGAGAUACGGAGUUGGAAUUCUUCUGCUUUUAUGUUUAAUUUAAGAGAGAGAGAUCAAAUUAUCCCCCAACAGGCUUGCGGUCCCAAUUUUCCUGCAACGUGAAAAGAGUGUGAAAUGAGCCUUAUUGACUGUUAUAGUCAACUACUUUGAUUUUUCUAUGUAUGGAUAACUUCACAUUGAAGAAACGCAUACCCACCCUCUGUUCAUGAUCAGGUUCAAUCAUUAGAGGCUUCUGAAUUAGCAUAAUGAAAAUGAAAAUCAAGAAUCACUAUAUUUGAAAUUAAUUUUUUUUUUUUUUUUAAAAAGGAUCUUACUACUGAAUUAGCAACUUUCCUCGACAUGGGCCAUAAUGUAUACCAAAUUAACCUUGUACAAAUAAUGAAUUAUGUACGGUAUCAUGCUAAGUUACCAUUUUUCCAAUAAUUUAAACUUCUAUAUGUUUUAUAUAGUUUAUUAUUAUUUGUAUUUUAAGUUUUGUUUCUUCUAACCAAAUGCCUACUUUAAAUCAAAAUUUGAUUUUUAAAAAACAUACAAAAUAAAUUAAGGAGGACGGUCCAUUUAGAUUUAAAUUAUAAUAAAUGAAGUAUUAUUAAAUUUUAGAGUAGGUAAUGUGACUUACAUAAAAAUGUUUAUAUGUAUAAAUUAAAUGGAAUACUUACAUUUUGAGAGAGACAAAAUAAACAUAUACAUGUGAUACAGGGUGAAAGGACAUUGUUAUAAAGUGAAAAUCAAUUAGUAAAAUGUACCACCGCAGUAAUCCUCCUUCCUACAAUUCUUCUCUAUAAAUUUUCAGGCUAAUCUCCUCGCGAUAUUUGUAUCUCCCUUUCCACUUUCUUUUCUAUCCCAGAGAUUUCUGUCCUUGGCAAAAAUCACAAAUUCCUUCCAUAAAAAUGGAUCGAUAUCUCUGUUUGUUUUUGUUCUUGUUUCUGACCUUGUUUGUGGAGAUGAGAGGGGGCCGAGAUGAGUGCAUGACAUCGAAUGGUUGUGGCGACCAGGGUCCACUCAUCCGGUUCCCUUUCCGUCUAAAACACCAGCCACACCACUGUGGAUAUCCGGGAUUUGAGUUAUCUUGCACUGAGAAUAAUCAGACCAUGCUAGACCUGCCAGUUUCGGUAAAGCUCUUGGUGAAGAAAAUAGUUUACAAAUCCCGGGAAAUCAUUGUCCAGGACCCGGAUAAUUGCCUUGCGAGACAGCUUCGAAACCUCAAUUUAGCUGCCUCCCCCUUCUACUUCAAAUUUGGACUGGACUUCACCUUCUUCAUUAAUUGUUCCUCAUAUAAAACUCCAGAACCCGGAUCGUGGGCUUAUGAUUUUGAGCCCAUCCCUUGCCUUUCUAACCCUGGUAACCCAGUUUAUGCUGUUUAUUCCUCCGGAUCUGUCCAAUAUACGGAUCUAUCCUCUUGCCGCAGGCUUUACAACGCUUCAGCUCCAGGUAAUCGAGAUUAUGGGGAUUAUAUGUUCAAUGGAAGUGCAUUUUCUUUGAAGUGGUCGAAAUCAAUAUGUGGAAGCUGCCCAGAAGGAGGAAAAAUAUGCAGACUGAAGAAGAGUAAUAGCAGGGAACCAGAAACUGAAUGUAUUAAAGGUAAAGAGACUGCAUCUUAAUUCCCCAUUCAUCUUCUAUUCAUCUUCUUUUCAUCUUUCAUGCUCACCUCAUAUCCUCUACUAUGAUUUAAUAUACAAAUGCUCCAUUUUGGAAUUAAAAAAAAACCAUUGUAAAGGAUAUGAGCUGAUAAAUUCUGCUGAUUGAAUUUGCGUUUUAUUGGGAUUUUGAAAAUCUGAAAAAAAAAAAAAAAAAAAAAAAAAAAAGAAGAAGAAGAAAGGAGAAUAAUUUGAUUACAAGGGAUAAAAUUAAUAAUCUCUAAAUCUGAAAAAAUAAUUUAAAAUAAUUAGUGAAAAUAUUUUUUUACAUUUUAAAACUCCUGUUAGAUGAAUUUUUGGUUAAAGUAAUAUAUUGUUUUUCUUGCAUUUCACCUCAAAACAUCGAGCUAAACUAAUGGAUCCAAACUAAGGCCUUUUCUUUUCUUUCUUUGAAUUUUUAGCGCUCAAUAAAAUUAAGGGAAAUUAUUGAACAAAGAGUUAAAUGUUUAUUUGGAUUUAGUUUUUUGAAAAAUUAAAGAAAUAAAAGAAAAAUGUUAAAAGUUCUUUUAUAAUGGAUUCUUUCCUACCUACUUACAAUUAAUAUUUUUCUUUAUUUUCUUCUUAUUUUUCCAAGGACGGGAACCUAAAAAUACAAAGUAAUACAAUUGAUAUUCAUUUUCUAGUUUUAAUGGUUAUCCACAUAGAUGACUUUUCCCUUAUACCUAACAUGAGAAGUUCGAUGUUAAUGGUCAAUUGAAUCGCCAAGUGUCAUCGUACCUACCAAUUGGAUCACUGUAUAUAAUGGUAUAGAAUAAGGAUAGAGAUUUCUUCACAUUCCUUUUACAUAGAGUUUCAUUUUUAUUUUUAUUUUUAUUUUUGUCAUAAAAUUGGAUGAAUUUGUGUUUAGGGAGUCAUGAAGACAAUACGGUAUUAUGAAACAUAAAACUAUGAUACAUAAUAGGGAUUAGAAGGGUAUGUUUUAAUUUCCACUACAAGUUAGGAUAGAGUUAGUAGCAGAAUUGGUAUUACCUCAAAAAUGAACCAUAGAAUACAAGAAAGGGACCCAAAAAGAUAAGGUUGAAGCCUAGAAUAAAAUUAAUUAGAUUAAAAUCAUAUCACAUGAACAUGUAAUUUAGCAUGUUUUUAUUAAUUCCAAGAGCAUAACAAGCUAAUUCCUUUUUUUUUCUUAAUUUUUUAUAGGUGUAUCGAAGAAAUUAAUUGUGAUAGGUAAUAUUCUAUUUAUACAUAUUUUAUUAUAGAGAUAAAGAUUCUUAAUUUGGUUAUUUUACCUAUUUAUUUAAAUAAAAAGUUUAAGUUUUCUUCUUUUUAUUUAUGCAGGUGCAAUCUUUGGUUUCUUUCUUCUCAUGUUAGUAAUUGUUGUGGCUUAUCGAGUCUAUAGCUCAAAUAAAGUAGAAAGAGAUAAUAGAGUAAAGGUUAAAAAGUUUCUAGAAGACUAUGAAGCUCUCAAGCCCUCAAGAUACUCCUAUGCUGAUAUUAAAAGGAUUACGAGUCAAUUCAAAGAUAAAUUAGGGGAAGGAGGAUAUGGAACAGUGUACAAAGGAAAGCUUUCAGAUGAAGUUUUUGUUGCAGUAAAAAUCCUUAACAAUUCUCAAGGAAAUGGGGAAGAGUUCAUUAAUGAAGUAGCAACAAUGGGUACAAUCCACCAUGUUAAUAUAGUUCGUUUAGUUGGAUUUUGUGCUGAUAGAUUUAAACGAGCUCUAAUUUAUGAGUACUUACCAAAUGAGUCAUUGGAAAAGUUCAUAUUUUCAAAAGUUGUCAAGAACUAUUCACUUAGUUGGAAGAAACUUCAAGAAAUUGCUAUAGGUAUAGCAAAAGGAAUUGAGUAUCUUCAUCAAGGUUGUGACCAAAGAAUCCUUCAUUUUGAUAUCAAACCUCAUAAUAUUUUACUUGACCACAACUUUAAUCCAAAGAUUUCUGACUUUGGUUUAGCCAAAUUGUGCUCCAAGGAACAAAGUGCAGUCUCUAUGACAAUUGUAAGGGGAACAAUGGGCUAUAUCGCUCCAGAAGUGUUAUCUAGGAAUUUUGGGAAUGUGUCUUAUAAGUCAGAUGUUUAUAGUUUUGGAAUGUUGUUACUUGAAAUGGUUGGAGGAAGGAAGAACAUUGAUGUUAGUGUAGAGAGUACUAGCCAAGUAUAUUUCCCAGAAUGGAUUUAUAAUCAUUUGGAUAUAGGGGAAGAAUUGCAUAUUCGAAUUAAAGAAGAAGGAGAUGUUGAGAUUGCAAAGAAAUUAGCAAUUGUGGGACUUUCAUGUAUUCAGUGGUGUCCAGUGGAUCGUCCUUCCAUGAAAAUUGUGGUUCAAAUGUUGGAAGGAGAAGGAGACAAGUUAACCAUGCCUCCUAACCCUUUUGCUUCAACGGUUCCAACAAACUUGAGCAAGCCAGGUAGAGCUUUUCAACAAGAGUUGGCAAUAAUUUCAGAACUAGAUUAAAAAUAAUUGUCUAUAUGUUCAACUUAUUAUGAAUGUAUAGUUCAAUAAAAAUUCAUAUUGUAGUUGUUCAACAUCAUAGCAUCUUUAUUUAUAUUUCUGUUAAUUGAACAUAUGAUUGUAUAAAAUGAUUAUACUAGUGGCUCAAUUGAUGUUAGAUUCCAGAAGUUCUUAUUCCCAUGUAAUGUAUUUCUUGUGUAUUAAAUUUUAAUGAAUAUGUCCAAGAAUAUUCUCGCAACCCAAUUUAUAGUUCAGCUACACACAACUCUAUAGAUCACCUUUCAAUCAAGUAAGAGUAACUAAUGUUCAUCACAUUCAAGAUAGAAAGUAUUGCACAAAAUAGUAAUAGAAUUAGAUCUAGGAAACUUGGAAAUAAGAGUCCCAUCCACUACACCCAUAUAGAGUUUCUUUUGUUUCUUUUUUCUUUUUCUUUUUUUUCUUUUUUACCUUUACCACUUUUUUAUUGGACUGAGAAGUAAGCCUAAUUAGUUAUGUAAUGACUAAAUUAUAUUGAAUGGUGAAGGCUCGUUGGAGAACUUUGCAUCGAAUAAAAUGGAGAUCGAUUUCGAUGUGUUUACUUCUUGCAUGAAACACUGGAUUUGCUGCUAGCUAAGUAGCACUUUGGUUAUGACACCAUAUCAAUGGUGAAGAUAGGGCAGGUAUCCUAACAAUAAAGGAGUUAGAGAGUCAAGUGAAUGCUUGAUCUUGAACUUUAUCAAUACAAAUUACCAAUGGACCAUAUGUACUAGACCACGAAAAAUAUUAGAUUGUGGGAGAAAUGAGCCAUAUGAUAUGUGACCAUGUAGUAAUCGUUGAGAAAGGAAAAAAACAUGGACUCAAUAGAUUAUGUAAUAAUAAUAAUAGACUCAAACUCUCUCAAUAUAUGGUAUAUAUUGUUUAACCUAAACAACAAAAAGCCCAAUGGUUGAGGAGCUUGAUGCAAACAAGCUUAUCUUAGCCGAGAGGUCUGAGGGUUCCUCCAUGUGUUUAAGAUUAACUGCAUUUAGGCUAGAACAUCAAAUCAAUGGAACAAUCUACUCUGUUUCACUAGGCCAAGCCCAAUGGUAGGUCCAUAGGCAGAGCUUGGAUCAUGUGCUAGUCAGGCUGGGUUAGGCCUGAUACAGACCUAAUUUGAUCAUGGCAACCCAAUAAGAUAAUUAUUUUCCUUGUUUUGUGUUUUUCUAAUUUUUUUUGUUUGUAGUAAUUAAUUAUAUUAUAAGCAUAGCAAUCUAUGGACCCCGUAUUUUGGCUCAUGCGUUUCCCACUCGAUGGCGAGCUCGAUUUUUAUUUUGAAAAAUUGAUUAAUUUAUUUGGUUGAAAAAAAUUGACUUGGAGUCGCCACUUAUUUUUGUUUUAUUUUUAAAAGGGUAAACAAAAUAAGAAAGAAAACCCUAAGUGUGACUCCUUACUUUGGAAAAGGUGGUCUGUGAAAAACCGGAUCGGGUUCGGGGGUCAGGUUACUUAUCGGGAAGGUACGGUAAAGACCGUAGCACCCCUCUAAGUCCCUAAAGUCGAGUCUCUACUAAUACAAUGAAACUGACGUGGCAAUCAACGAGAAAGUCAAUGGAUACUCACCUAAAUCAUGCACAAUAUGGGAAUCAAAACACGCAAUAGAGAUUGACUAGAAUGAGAGUGGAUGCGUACCUCGGCCACGAACCACAAUGCGCUAUCAAGAAACGAGAUUAGUACACAAUUAAUGAAUACAAAAUAUAGCAGUGCAAAACGAAAAUCAAGCGAAAUACAUCAAGUACGACAGUUAACAAUCGAAAAGGGUCAAACAUAGGGCCCCCACCAAAGCCCCAAUUAUUGCUCAUGAAUUAGUCUUACAGAUUCUGUGUUUUACAAUUAUGAAGAACUCAUUACUGCUUACAUAAAAUCAAGAAAAUCAUAAGAUUAUUUAGGAACCGAAAUGGGAUUAAAACUAUUCGAGUGAAGACUGGAUUCUUGGAGUUUAUUUGAAAAUUGGAGUUUUUGGAAUUAAACUUAAAAGAUUAGAGCUCUGGUAAUUAAAUUGAAAUUCGUCACAGAAUAUGAGAAAUGAACUUUAGGAAAUUGAUCUGCGAGACUAUGGAUUUUGAAAGUUGAAUUUGUAAUAAUAGUAAUUAUAAGGAAUGAACUUUGAGAAAUCGGACUGCGAGAAUGUAGAUUUUGAAAGUUGAAUUAAUAAUAAUAGUAAUUAUAAGAAAUGAACUUUGAGAAAUCGAACUGCGAGAAUGUAGAUUUUGAAAGUUGAAUUAAUAACAAUAGUAAUUAUAAUAAUAAUAACAAUAAGAUUUCGAAAGUUUGAAUUAAUAGUAAUAAUAAUAAUAAGGUUUUGAAAGUUUGAAUUAAUAAUAAUAAUAAUAAUAAUAAGAUUUUGAGAGUUAUAAUUAAUAAUAAUAAUAAUAAUAAUAAUAUUAAUAAGAUUUCGAGAGUUCUAAUUAAUGAUAAUAAUAAUAAUAAUAAGAUUUCGAAAGUUUGAAUUAAUAAUAAUAAUAAUGAUAAGGUUUCGAAAGUGUAAAUUAAUAAUAAUAAUAAUAAUAAGAGAUGAACCUUAGGAAAUUAAACUGCAAGAAUAUAAAUUUUUAAUAAUAAUAAUAAUAGUAAUAAUAAGAAAUGAACUUUAGGGAAUUAAACUACAGAUUUUGAAAGUUGAGUUAAUAAUAAUAAUAAUACUAAUAACAAUAAUAAUAAAAAGGUGAAUUUGAAGAUUUAAGUAAUAAUAAUAAUAAUAAAUGAAUUUUAGGAAAUUAAACUAUAGAUUUUGAGAGUUGAGUUAAUAAUAAUAAUAAUACUAAUAACAAUAAUAAUAAAAAGGUGAAUUUGAAGAUUUAAGUAAUAAUAAUAAUAAUAAAUGAACUUUAGGCAAAUUAAACUAUAGAUUUUGAGAGUUGAGUCAAUAAUAAUAAUAAUAAUAAUAAUAAUAAUAAAUUGAAUUUGAAGAUUUAAGUAAUAAUAAUAAUAGAAAUGGGCUUAGACAAUGGCUACUCAAAUUGAGCCCUUUAAUGGGCCUAGGGUGGGAAGACUGAAUUUGGAGAUUUAAAUAAUAACAGAGAUGGGCUUAGGACUAAACGGGCUUAGGGUAAUGGCUACAAAUUGAGCCCUUUAAUGGGCCUAGGGUGAGAAGAAUGAAUCUCAAAGAAAGCCAGUGGGCCUUGGGCAUCUUGGUGGUGCAUGGGAUAAGUGGGGUAAGUGGUGCAGAUAGGUGAGAAAUGGGGGUGUGUGAAGGGGCGUGGUGUAGAGAGAGAAAAGGUGGCGUGAGAAGUGUGAAGCUUUAGGGGGAGAAAUGGGUAUGAGACUAGUGGAAUAGAGAGAGAAGGCAUGAACGGAAUGCAUGAAUGAUGAUAUGUAUGAGGGGGAAGGAUGGAAACGCAGGAUUGGAGGACAGUGGGCCUGUGGGUAUAGAAAUAUAGAGCAUGAUGGUGAGUGUUGUGUGCAUGGGACUAAUCGGACGAGUUUGCAACUUUGCAUGGAUAUAGACAUGUGGAGGGAGUGCAUUUGAAAUGCACUUGGAAAAUGGAUGAGUGGUGUGGUGAAUACGCUUGACAGGUUUGAGAAAUGGACAUGAAGACAAAGAUCAUGAGGGAUAGAAUUAAGAGCAAAGGAUAGUGAGAGAAAAUGGGUAUAGAAGAGGUGGGGAGAGAGAAAAGGUGGCGAGAAGAAGAGAGGCUUGGAGCACUUACGGCGGCUUCAGAGGAGAUGGGUGUGAAAGAUGGCGGCCGCUGUGCUGAAACGAGUGGCUGCUCACACUUCCCUGGACGAAACUCGGUCUCCGAGUGGAGUAACUCGUGGCAAGGGAACUUGAGGAGCCGCCGCUGCUGCAACUGUUGCCGACGUCGGAGUUGGGAGGCAGCAGAGCACCGGAGAUGGAGACGGAGUCGAAGUCAUCGACCGCGGAGAGGGAGAGAUGAGGAGGAUAGACGAAUGAUGGGUGGGGUGGAGUAAGAGAUGACUAACGAGGUGCGCCCAUAACAGGAUGCGGAGAGAGGUGGACCGGUUGAAGGGAUUCAAGAUGAUAGGUAUGUGAGAUAGAGAUGUUGACAUGUGGUGGUCAUGGAAAAAUGGGUAUCAACAUGGAUACGUGCAUGGAGAUAAUGGGAUGAGGUUGAAAGUGAUGGAUAUGGUAGAUGGGGACAUCUGUGAUGGACGAGCAUGGUGAUGGGGUUGAGGGUGGAAAGUUAUGAUCACUUUCGUCAACAGAGGGACAGCCUCCAUCACAAGGUCAGCUGCAUCUGAAGGGAGUUUCUUGCGCAUAUUUGCAGCAUUCGACAAGGCCACUCAUCAGACCUCCACGAAGAAGAGAUCCAGACAUGAAAGCACUGCCAUGAGUGCCCCAGCUCGUAAGCAGACGGUUAGGUGUUCCUAAGGUAUCCUCUAAGAGUUUGUAAAGACUGCUCAGCCAAAUCCAUGUACACAGUUGUGAGCUACCUAGCACAGAAGUAUGAGACUGCACAAAAAUGCUCUACUAUUACACAUGAAGAAAGCAAUACAUCACAUUAAUGGAUCAAUGCCCGGGCCUAAGAAGCAUAAUAUCGAGAUUGCUCUCAUGAUUGGGCAAACCCACAAGCACUAGCACGAAGGAAUCCAAUGAAAAUGCACUGAGUGACUCCUCGGCAUCAAUGGAGAGCAUCCCACUCAGCUGUGUCAAGGCCUCUACCUGCCUUCUCUCUUCACUGUUUACCUCCAGAGUAUAUUUAGACCCGACAAUCGAUCCAGAAGGCAAACUACCCAGGCUCAACAAUGCUCAUGACCUCCUUCCUUGUGGCUCAUGCAUUUGAAUAAUAAAUAAAUAAAACAGAAAACAGAGGAAAACCAUAGCAAAGGAAAGUCUCUAGAAAGAGAGCAUGACAAAGCAAAAAAAACACAGGACAUCAGUCGAAGCUCCACUGCAUGGAUUAUCAGUGAGCAGGCUGAUCGAGUGGGGGAGACCAGAUCGGAUAGGAACAAAACAUGAUCUUCGAGCACUUAGCAAUAGAGGCAAAACAGAGUGAAAUCAUCUUUUAGCAAAAACAAAAGGAGUUGCAGAAUAUGAAACAACAACAAGCAGCCUACAAUCCUCUCAAAUAUAAACAAGUAAAUCAAGAGUAUAGCCUUGAGCCCACACUCAGUCCAAACAAUGCCAAGAAACCAGUGAGGAGCAAGGUAAGGUAAUAAAGAAAACAGAGUCGUAGGGCUUGCACUUACCUUUUGAUCUUCCUUUCAAACAAGUGCCUCUUUCUUUUUUUCCGAGCUUCAAUCUCCAAGAUCACCCCCGGAACCAGCAAGUCCCCUCCUCUGUAACCCCCUUAAUGGCUUCCUUCCCCCUCAGAUAUCAGACCCCCCUUUUUCCUAUCUAGCCCUCUUCUUUUUAUUCCUCUGUUCGUGUCUUCCUCAGCAAGCCAACCUUCCCUUUCCUGUUCAUCACAUCAGCAAGCAUGGGCUUGCAACCACUCUCUCUGCUGCUGCACGUCUCAUACAGACGGCAUCCAACCUCAGCUAGGGUCCCCUACCCCUUCUAAUAAUAUCCUGAAAAUUCAAGAAGAAAAGAAAGAAAAACAAACCCCCCCGGGUCUUCCCCACCAAAGGGGGUCUACACAAUCAUUGUAACUAUCUUUGUUAUUAAAUUUUUUUGUUCCAUUAUUUCAGAAUUUCUAAUUUUAUUUGAUAAAUUAAUUCUUCUUUAUCAUCUAUUAAAUCUUUACUUAAACUUAUUUUAUUAUAAGUUUAUUCAUUUAUUUUUAUUCCAUUUUCUUUUUACAACUUUCGUGUCCUUAUUUAUGUUUUCCAUAAAUAUAACAAUAAUUUAAACAAAAAUAAUAAUUACUUGGAGAUAUACCAAACAAAACAUACACUUCUUCAAUGAAAAAAGUGACACAAAAUUAAAAUAUAAAUUCUAAAGAAUUAAGACUAAAUUAAAACAAAUUUAGAAUUGUAGGAUUUUUAAAAAAAACUAUUUGAUAAAUUUUAGCUUUUUAAGCUAUUAAAGUAAAAUGAGGGUUUAUCCCUUAUUCUUUAAUAAUAUAUGAAAAAUUAUUUAUAUAAUAAUGAAAAAAACUUUGGAACGUUUUCUUAGUUCUUUUAAAAAAUUUCUAGUUGAAAAUUAUUAAGGUAGUAAUGAAAACUAUCAAUUAUCAUUCUUUCUUCUUCUUUACCUUGCUGUAAAUUCUCUAUCUCCACAUCCACUAAGUCAAUUCUUUUGAAGGUUUUUCUUUGCAUUUGAAGGACUUUAAUUCUUUUACAAUGAGCAAUGUGGAAUAGGCUAGAUGAGGGAAGAGGUCAUGACCUUCUCAACUCAGCUUCAUCUUUAUGGAAAAGUAGGUAGUGUAUUUCUAGAAAGGGAGAAGGAAAUUUUUUUUGCUUUUGUCUUGCUUAACCGACCAUAAAGGCCACCAAAUUGAAAAAUGAAGCACUACGUUUGAUGAUGCAUGUAAUGCCACUAGUUUGCAAGAAAAUGAUAGCAAGGAAUUAAGCUAAAUUUAUCAAAAAUUAUAUUCAAAGGUUAAAUCCCGAAUAUCAUGUCUUUAUCUUUGUGUAGGAAAGGAAAAAUGUGUAAAAUGAGUUUAAAAUAACAUAUAAAUAUAAUUUAUUAAUUUUAAAUUUAUUUUUCAAUUUUUUUCUCUAUUUUCUUUUCAUUGUGUUCUCUCAAAUUUUCUAAGAACUAAAUAUUGCUUUAGUUUUAGGAGUUUCUAACUUCAGUUUUUAUCCAAAAACCUCAGAAGAAAUUGAGCACAUGAAAUAAUGUUUUUCUUAAAAAUUCCUCAUAUAUACUAAGUGAUCAUCAUAGAAAAUAAACUAUGACUUGUAACUAAAGCAUAAACAUUGCAACAGUAGAAAUGAGCAAAAGAGGGGGACGGAAAUUCCCAACCCCAUCCUCCUCACAAAAAAAUAAACAAUAACAAUUGUCCAGUUGUUUCCUGCUUUCUUACUUUUAGGGUUUGCCUUUCCUGGAAGGGCUCUGUUUGCAGAUCAGAUUUUUAGUUUUUAAAGACAGGGUCUCUAGAAUUAAUAUGCAGUAUUUGGUCCUUAAAUGCCUAACAGACCCAUGGGCUAGCUAGCAGGGCAAGGCUAGCUAGCUUGGAUUUGGGCUAGCCCAGCACGUUUGAGGCUUAGCAUCAUCAUAGCCCAAUUUGGUCGAGGAGGCAACUUUAUGGUCAGCACAAACUAUUUGGGCUAGAGCUUUUUGUUUAUAUGAAUUGCUAUUAUUACUAUGUCUAUUUGUGCAAUUAGAAAUCUUGUGCGUGAGAUUGAUGAAGACUUGACCAUUGUUGAUAUUGGAAUAUUAAUUGAAUUUAUAGAUAAAAUAGAAAUUUAAUGUUGGGGAUAAUCACGUAGACCACUUGUUCAUUCUUUUCUAGGUAGUUCCAUAUAUUAAGUAAGGAUUAAAAUAUCUGAAAUUAGAUAAAUAUUGGUUGUUGAAAUCUAUGUACAAAAAUAAAAAGUAUUUGUAGUAAUUUUGUUUAAAUUUAGAUAAAUUUUGAUAAUUAAUUUUUUUAUAUUUAAAUAAUAUUUAUAUUAACUCAAGAAAAAAGAAUUAAAUACAAUACCAAUGGCUAUGAAUGUUAAUUUUUAUUUUAAACUUAAAAAUAAUUAAAAAGACAACUUAACUCUACAACAUUAAGUGAUUGGAGAAAUACUCAAUUUAAAAAAAUAGCUUUCAAACAAAUCUUUCAUUUUCUUGUUUUAUAAAAAGCAAAAUAGGGUACCAUCCGCUUUGUCAAAAAAAAGUUCCAUGUAUGUUGUCAAAUGGUAAAUUGAGCAAAAAAAAAAAAAAAAAAAAAAAACAUUAUAAAUUCCCGCAUCAUUAUGGCUGAGGGAGGAAUGGAUCGCUACCAUAAAAGCUCAUAUAGCUGGGGAAGGAAUGGGUUGCUUCUAUAAAACCUCUUAUAGCAGGGGAAGGAAUGGGUUGCUGUUAUAAAACCUCUUAUAGCAAUGUAUGGCCCAAUGGGCACUAUCUCUCCUGCCCAAUUUAGAUUGCUGAACCCACUGAGAGCAAUGUCUUUUAUCAUUCACUCUUCUUAACCACCAUUAGAGACCAUUGAACUCUUCUCCCAAAUCCAUAAUACCCAUCCUCAUCACUGUAUAUUUCUCCGACUAGAUUGUUGUCGUCACUGACAUCCUCAUCACUGAGGGGGCUUUGAUCAAUGACCAACUCUCUCAACGACCAAUUUCUUUAGCCACUUCAUCGCCCACAUCUUCCAGGUAUUCUUUCGAUUCCUUCCACUGCUUCACACUCUGUUAUUCCUUUCUUUCUUUCUUUGAUUUCAAAUUGGGUUUCUUUUCAUCACUUCUAUUUCCUCCCAUCUCUCUUUUUCUGGUUAGGGUUAGGGUUAGGGUUUGUGUUUGGAUUCCCUGGUAUAUAUUUACUAAUUAUUAUGAGCAUCAAUCCCUCACCAUACUUUCACAUACCUCAUCUCUGCACUCUUAUUCUUCUUUCCAUUUUCAUGUGCAUCGAAGCUUAGCUUGGAAGCAAUGAUUGCUCGUGU
rnacentral:lncRNA from 1 species